rnacentral:ncRNA from 2 species
AGCUCAUCCAGAGGGGCAGAGGGAACGGCCCGUUGAAGCCCCGGCAACCGGCGUCAGCCUGUCAUCUCGGAUCCCGCGAGGUAGCUGACGGCAUCGGUGCCAAUUCCGACCCGCAGUCAGUGGGACAGAUGAGGA